rnacentral:rRNA from 1 species
UGGUAAUUCUAUGGCUAAUACAUGCGCACAUGCCUCUUCCCUCGUGGAAGGGUAGUGUUUAUUAGAUACAGAACCAACCCACCUUCGGGUGGUCCUCAGGUGAUUCAUAGUAACCGAACGGAUCGCAUUAUGGCCUUUUGGUCGGCGAUGGAUCAUUCAAGUUUCUGACCUAUCAGCUUUCGACGGUACUGUAUUGGACUACCGUGGCAGUGACGGGUAACGGGGAAUUAGGGUUCGAUUCCGGAGAGGGAGCCUGAGAAACGGCUACCACAUCUAAGGAAGGCAGCAGGCGCGCAAAUUACCCAAUCCUGACUCAGGGAGGUAGUGACAAGAAAUAACAACACUGGAAAUUAUAUUUCUAGUGAUUGGAAUGAUGGGAAUCCAAACCCCUUUCAGAGUAACAAUUGGAGGGCAAGUCUGGUGCCAGCAGCCGCGGUAAUUCCAGCUCCAAUAGCGUAUAUUAAAGUUGUUGCAGUUAAAAAGCUCGUAGUUGGAUAUCUGCUGGAAGCAGCCAGUCCGCCCUUUGUGGGUGUGCACUUGGUGAAUUCUGGCAUCCUCCUGAUUGGUGUUAUCAUCACUUCAUUGUGUUGAUGGCAGCUGUCAGGACCGUUACUUUGAGAAAAUUAGAGUGUUUCAAGCAGGCUUGUUGCCUUGAAUACUGCAGCAUGGAAUAACAAGAUAGGAUUUCGGUUCUAUUUUGUUGGUUUCUAGGACUGAAGUAAUGAUUAAUAGGGACAGUUGGGGGCAUUCGUAUUUAACUGUCAGAGGUGAAAUUCUUAGAUUUGUUAAAGACGAACUACUGCGAAAGCAUUUGC